ensembl:lincRNA
CAAUAAUCUUGGGCCAAAAUUUAUUAUCAAAGGAAUAUAAAAAUUUUUGCUUUGUUCUGGAAUUUUGUCACAAUAAAGCAUUGUCAUUUGUCUCUUAGAUUCUUUCCUUCCCAGCUCCUCCACCACCACCACUCCCUAUUGGUGAAAUUGGCACAUGUCAAAGAGCUAACAAAGGGAUCUUCCUAAAAGGCGUCAUUGUGUGCCCAAAGGGUUUCUGGACUUGGACAUCAUGGUGGACUGGAAAAUAUCUUUAAAAGCAGAACAACAUGCCCAGUGCAAAGCAUUGACUCCCUCAUCAAGAACUAAUGAGAGGGUCAAAUUAGAUCAAGACCCAAGUUGGCCACAGACACAAGCCUGUAAGAUGCUUCUGGCCUUCACACACAGCAGGGGCAUCUGCUGGUGGGACUUGAGAGACAGGCUCCAGUUCUCUGAAGGGCUUCCCCAGAACUGGAGAAUGAGGAAUUCCAUGUGUGCUCACAUAUGCAUUCUGCAUCUUCAUCUGCCACAUGAACUGAAUCCUGAAAGGAACAUCUGCCUAGCAGGGAGUGCAGAUGGCCAGAUCUCACUGAGUCAGCAAACAGAGCCCUUGCAAGGGGUCGGUCCUCAGGUACAGAUGGCCUCCAGGGGAGCCUCCCACCUCGGAGGAAAGCUGCUAGCAUCCUGGAGUUCCUAAGCAUGAGAGAGCCAGGUAGUCCAAAAUAUCUACAGGAAGAGGAUUCCACCUGUGCCAUCUCAGAAGCCAGGUCUUCUUGGAAGAUCUAUGCUGUUUCAAAGGCUUUCCCACAACCCAGAACAUCACUAAAGAGAA